GGGGAUGCAUUGAUUCGACAGGAAAUGCACAUUGAAAAACUGCAAGCCGACUUUGAUUAUUAGUCGCUAAACAGAAUCAAAAUAUAACUGCUAGAAAUAGCGUUAAUACAUUCAUCGCGAAGGCAAAAGCCGGACUCGAUGGAAUGUUUAGACAACCAGCUUUGGCAUACGCCUAAGGCUUAACGUCUUGUUCAUAUAGUCUUUUCUCAGUGGGAUUAUAUGGGCACAAAUUUAGCUGAGAAAUAGAUUAGGAAAUUCGGUUUUCGUCCUUAUCUGAAUUUAUAAAACCUUGGCUUUAAUCAUGCGUGUUGAUUCGCAAAGUUUAAAGUGACUUUCAAAAAUCGACUAAGCUUGUAGAGGUUUAAAAUGUAAUUCUUGGACUCCGGAUCAUUCCCGGACAUCUCCACCG
rnacentral:tmRNA from 1 species